rnacentral:sRNA from 1 species
UCUUAGCAAACUCAAAGUUCUUGAACUCUGUAGUUUACACAUCCUCAGAACAACACUACCUUGUAUGUGAUAUUCAAGAGACUGAGUUUCUAAAGAGUCGUAGAGCCAAGCUUUAAAUUCUGAUCUGUUAAUAUAUAUUUCAGUAGUUGCUAAUAAUGCCAUACCUCUUCUUCACUAUGCUGAUCCCACACACAGCUUUCUUUAGGAGAAGGAAUACCUGUACAUAUGAAUGAGAAAACUGUAGAAAAUAAUAGUUCGGACCCUUUUCAAAAUUGUAUUCGGAAUUGCUAGUUUAGCCUUUACUAAACCAUACUUGGUUCCUGGGCCUAGCGAAGAUUUGAUCAUUUAAUUUCGUGAAAGCCAAUACAUUCUAGCAGCAUAUUGAUAUUAAUGGCCAUUGUGAAUAUAGUCUGCAUCUGUGUUUUGUAUGGCAUACAAUGGACAAUACAAAUAAUUUCAAGAAGUUUGAUUUUGACUACUAUGGACUUUCAUUUUCUAGUUGUUUUCUUUUUUUCAUAUCAUUUUCCUUUCCUUUUUCUUCAUGUUGGAAAUCUUUCUUCUGCUGCCUUCCUCUGUCAAUUAAAAGGAAAAUCCCACCUAAACGCCCACCAAGAAAACACAUUGUGGAGCGCUAUACAGAGUUUUAUCAUAUACCCACUCACAGUGAUGCCAGCAAGAAGAGACUGAUUGAGGAUACUGAAGAUUGGCGUCCAAGGACUGGAACAACUCAGUCUCGCUCUUUCCGAAUCCUUGCCCAGAUCACUGGGACUGAACAUUUGAAAGAAUCUGAAGCCGAUAAUACAAAGAAGGCAAAUAACUCUCAGGAGCCUUCUCCACAGUUGGCUUCCUCAGUAGCUUCCACACGGAGCAUGCCCGAGAGCCUGGACAGCCCAGCCUCCGGCAGACCCGGGGUGGCCAGCCUCACAACUGCAGCUGCCUUCAAGCCUGUAGGAUCCACUGGCGUCAUCAAGUCACCGAGCUGGCAACGGCCAAACCAAGGAGUACCUUCCACUGGAAGAAUCUCAAACAGCGCUGCUUACUCAGGUUCAGUAGCACCAGCCAACUCAGCUUCAGGACAAACCCAGCCAAGUGACCAGGACACUUUAGUGCAAAGAGCUGAGCACAUUCCAGCAGGGAAACGAACUCCAAUGUGCGCCCAUUGUAACCAGGUCAUCAGAGGACCAUUCUUAGUGGCACUGGGGAAAUCUUGGCACCCAGAAGAAUUCAACUGCUCUCACUGCAAAAAUACAAUGGCCUACAUUGGAUUUGUAGAGGAGAAAGGAGCCCUGUACUGUGAGCUGUGCUAUGAGAAAUUCUUUGCCCCUGAAUGUGGUCGAUGCCAAAGGAAGAUCCUUGGAGAAGUCAUCAAUGCAUUGAAACAAACUUGGCAUGUUUCCUGUUUUGUGUGUGUAGCCUGUGGAAAGCCCAUUCGGAACAAUGUUUUUCACUUGGAGGAUGGUGAACCCUACUGUGAGACUGAUUAUUAUGCCCUCUUUGGUACUAUAUGCCAUGGAUGUGAAUUUCCCAUAGAAGCUGGUGACAUGUUCCUGGAAGCUCUGGGCUACACCUGGCAUGACACUUGCUUUGUAUGCUCAGUGUGUUGUGAAAGUUUGGAAGGUCAGACCUUUUUCUCCAAGAAGGACAAGCCCCUGUGUAAGAAACAUGCUCAUUCUGUGAAUUUUUGAAAGUCAACAGUUCAGGAGAAGAGAAGGAAUUUGAAGAGAAAAAGGAAAAUUAAAAUUACUAAUUAAUUUUUAGAUUCAAUAUUUAUAUGGAGUUUUGAAAAAUAAUAGUGGCCCUGAAGGAAUAAAUUCCAGCUUUAAAAACCAAGUCUGAGGAAAUAUUUGGCUUCAUAAAGUAAAGAGACAGUUUGGCAUUUAUUAUUACUUUUUCCUGUAUUUUAUGCCCAUAAAAUAAGUUUUAUAAAAACCAAUUUCCUGAUGGACUAUUAAAUUCAUCUUAGAAUAAAUUAGUGAAGAAUUUAAUUUUAGAAUAAAUAAUCCAAUCUGAAAUAAUUAUACCUUCUUUCCUUGUUAGGUAGUUAUGAGUAAAUCUGCAAAAGGCAAUGAAAAUGCCUUAAAUUUUAUCAAUAAGAGAAUCAUUGUAUUUUAAAAAAAACCUAAUACUUAUCUUUAAAAUAGUAAAUAGGAUUUUAAACAGAGAAUUUUAUCAGUAAUAGGUGUCAGUUUUUAAAAAAUUGCUUGUAGGCUGAGCGCGGUGGCUCACACCUGUAAUCCCAGCACUUUGGGAGGCCAAGGUGGGUGGAUCACCUGAGGUCAGGAGUUUGAGAUCAGCCUGGCCAACAUGGUGAAACCCCAUCUCUACUAAAAAUACAAAAAUUAGCCGGACGCAGUGGCACACGCCUGUAAUCCCAGCUACUCAGGAGGCUGAGGCCCGAGAAUCGCUUGAACCCGGGAGGCAGAAGUUGCACUGAGCUGAGAUCGUACCACUGCACUCCAGCCUGGGUGACAGAGUGAGACUCCGUCUCCAAAAAAAAAAACAUUGCUUGUAUAUUAUUUUUGCCUUACAGUGGAUCAUUCUAGUAGGAAAGGACAAUGAGAUUUUUUAUCAAAAUGUGUCAUGCCAGUAAGAGAUGUUAUAUUCUUUUCUCAUUUCUUCCCCACCCAAAAAUAAGCUACCAUAUAGCUUAUAAGUCUCAAAUUUUUGCCUUUUACUAAAAUGUGAUUGUUUCUAUUCAUUGUGUAUGCUUCAUCACCUAUAUUAGGCAAAUUCCAUUUUUUCCCUUGUGCUAAGGUGAAGAUUUAAUUAAAUAAUUUUGGCCUCUAAUAGUUUUCUCUCUCUUUAAAAAGAAUAAAUAGAGGGCCGGGUGCGAUGGCUCACGCCUGUGAUCCCAGCACUUUGGGAGGCCAAGACGGGCGGAUCAUGAGGUCAAGAGAUCAAGAUCAUCCUGGCCAACAUGGUGAAACCCUGUCUCUACUAAAAAUACAAAAAUGAGCUGGGCAUGGUGGGGCGUGCCUGUAGUCCCAUGUACUUGGGAGGCUGAGGCAGGAAAAUUGCUUGAACCCAGCAGACGGAAGUUGCAGUGAGCUGAGAUCGCACCACUGCACUCCAGCCUGGUGACAGAGCGAGACUCUGUCUCUU